UGCUCAGUGAGAUUUGUUCAAAUAUAAAGGAGAAGCAAGGAACCUAUGAUUGCGGACAAUUCAGCACAAAUAAAGUCCUCUAAACAGGCAGUUAUAUAUGUAUGUGGAUUUAUUGCCAAAAAACUCAGAACAAAAGUUCCCGGCCUUGACAGAGUCAGUGAGGAUAAAACAAACUGAUUGGAUAGAAUUAAAAUCAAGAGGAUCCCUGGUUUAUCCAUCUAAAGAUCUUUUGGAAGAAGUUGAGAAAUAAGAGAAAAUAUUUCAAAAAAUACAUGGAGAGUCACUGGAUAGAGGUCGAGAUCCAGUCGAAAAAACAAUUUCAGCUAUUGCUGCAAUAAGCAAUCGAUGGCCUUGGGAAGUUAUUAAACUUUUUGUAAAUGUUAGAUUUUUCAGUAGACUGAAAAAAACUCAUUGUAAUCUUUAAGGAAAAUAGUAAAAAUAAUGUCAGAACACUAAAACUGACUGCUCAAUUUAUGUUUUAGAAUUAUGGUGUAGUUAAAAGCUUGAUGGUCUCCUUGUUUUAAAAUAGAAUGUUAAAAAGUGUAUAAGAAUAAAUAUAUUAUGAUAUG